GAAAAGAAUGCUAAUACCGCAUAACAUAUAUUUAUCGCAUGGUAGAUAUAUCAAAGAUUUAUCGCUUAGAGAUGGACUCGCGUCCGAUUAGUUAGUUGGUGAGGUAACGGCUCACCAAGACUGCGAUCGGUAGCCGGACUGAGAGGUUGAACGGCCACAUUGGGACUGAGACACGGCCCAGACUCCUACGGGAGGCAGCAGUGGGGGAUAUUGCGCAAUGGGGGAAACCCUGACGCAGCAACGCCGCGUGAAGGAUGAAGGUCUUCGGAUUGUAAACUUCUUUUAUUAAGGACGAAGAAAGUGACGGUACUUAAUGAAUAAGCUCCGGCUAACUACGUGCCAGCAGCCGCGGUAAUACGUAGGGAGCAAGCGUUGUCCGGAUUUACUGGGUGUAAGGGGUGCGUAGGCGGCUUUGCAAGUCAGAUGUGAAAUCUAUGGGCUCAACCCAUAGCCUGCAUUUGAAACUGCAGAGCUUGAGUGAAGUAGAGGCAGGCGGAAUUCCCCGUGUAGCGGUGAAAUGCGUAGAGAUGGGGAGGAACACCAGUGGCGAAGGCGGCCUGCUGGGCUUUAACUGACGCUGAGGCACGAAAGCGUGGGUAGCAAACAGGAUUAGAUACCCUGGUAGUCCACGCUGUAAACGAUGAUUACUAGGUGUGGGGGGUCUGACCCCUUCCGUGCC
rnacentral:rRNA from 1 species